rnacentral:rRNA from 1 species
AUUGAACGCUGGCGGCAUGCCUUACACAUGCAAGUCGAACGGUAACAGGUCUUCGGAUGCUGACGAGUGGCGAACGGGUGAGUAAUGCAUCGGAACGUGCCCAGUAGUGGGGGAUAGCCCGGCGAAAGCCGGAUUAAUACCGCAUACGACCUGAGGGUGAAAGGGGGGGAUCGCAAGACCUCUCGCUAUUGGAGCGGCCGAUGUCAGAUUAGCUAGUUUGUGGGGUAAAGGCCUACCAAGGCAACGAGCGGUAGUUGGUCUGAGAGGACGACCAGCCACACUGGGACUGAGACACGGCCCAGACUCCUACGGGAGGCAGCAGUGGGGAAUUUUGGACAAUGGGCGCAAGCCUGAUCCAGCAAUGCCGCGUGCAGGAAGAAGGCCUUCGGGUUGUAAACUGCUUUUGUCAGGGAAGAAAUCUUCUGGGUUAAUACCUCGGGAGGAUGACGGUACCUGAAGAAUAAGCACCGGCUAACUACGUGCCAGCAGCCGCAGUAACAC